AGCGAACGCUGGCGGCAGGCUUAACACAUGCAAGUCGAACGCCCCGCAAGGGGAGUGGCAGACGGGUGAGUAACACGUGGGAACGUACCCUUUGGUUCGGAAUAACUUGGGGAAACUCAAGCUAAUACCGGAUAAGCCCUUAUGGGGAAAGGUUUACUGCCGAAGGAUCGGCCCGCGUCUGAUUAGCUAGUUGGUGAGGUAAUGGCUCACCAAGGCGACGAUCAGUAGCUGGUCUGAGAGGAUGAUCAGCCACACUGGGACGGAGACCCGGCCCAGACUCCUACAGGAGGAAGCAGUGGGGAAUAUGGGACAAUGGGGGCAACCCUGAUCCAGCCAUGCCGCGUGAGGGAUGAAGGCCUUAGGGUUGUAAAGCUCUUUUACCCGGGACGAUAAUGACUGUACCGGGAGAAUAAGCCCCGGCUAACUUCGUGCCAGCCGCCGCCGUAA
rnacentral:rRNA from 1 species